rnacentral:rRNA from 1 species
UGGGGAAUAUUGGGCAAUGGGCGCAAGCCUGACCCAGCGACGCCGCGUGGGUGAUGAAGGCCUUCGGGUUGUAAAGCCCUGUCAUGUGGAAAGAACAGUCCCGUGGUGAAUAUCCACGGGAUUUGACGGUACCACAGGAGGAAGCACCGGCUAACUCCGUGCCAGCAGCCGCGGUAAUACGUAGGGGGCAAGCGUUAUCCGGAUUUAUUGGGCGUAAAGCGUGCGUAGGCGGUUUAUUAGGUCAGGCGUAAAAGAUCACAGCUCAACUGUGUAGGGCGUUUGAAACCGGUAGACUUGAAUACGGUAGAGGCAGGUGGAAUUCCAUGUGUAGCGGUGGAAUGCGUAGAUAUCGGGAAGAACACCGAUGGCGAAGGCAGUCUUCUGGGCCAUAACUGACGCUGAGGCGCGAAAGCUAGGGGAGCAAACA